GAGUGAGGGGAGGGGUAGAGGUGGAGAGAGGGAAAGAACAUUACUAGCAAGAAGUGACUUUACAGGCGCCUUUUUGUUUACACGAAGAACAUAUUCAGGGCUGACCCGAAAAAUUAAAAAUACUUAGAAACGCCUCCAGGUUCCGUGAGUGCUCUCCGCUCGCCGUCCUCACCUCGGGGGUCCAGGGAACAAGACCCCGGGUUGCGGAGGAGGAUGGAGUCUAAGGAUGCAUACGGACGCCUCAGGGCGAAACGCAAAGGCUAGGUUGGACUGUCAGAUUCUUGUUCGUUCUCUGUACCUUUUGACCACCCCCCGCCCCGGCCCCGCCCUCGAAUUUUCCCCGAGUGUGCAAGGCUGUCAAGCUGCAACACGCAGCCGCAGUGCGUUGUGCAAACCGUGUGGCGGGAGGGGAUGGGCUGGGAGAGAGUGUGUAGUGAAGGAGGUGGGGGAGGGAGGCACCACGUGAUUUUCUGGAACGCAGCCUCCUGGCUUCUUUAUUUCGAUAUGGCAGUAAACUAAUUUCCUCUCCAGAACAAGUUGGGUGAAUGGAGGAAUUGAGUCGCGUUCCUCUGGAAAGGCUUGCCUUUGAGUGUCCGGAAGGAAUCUGCGUUUGCUUGCCUUCCUCGCACUGAAGAAUCGCACCCGGUUCAAAUCCAAUGGUUUGUUUCUUUCUCUAUCUGAGAGCCGCUUUCUAGGCGGGUUUCCCUUUCGAAAGAAAGGUUAAAAGUUGUUGUUGGUUUUUUUUCCCCUGCAAAGCAUUUCUGAAUGAUGUAGGGACCAGAGAGCGUGAAAAGUCACUUUGACAUACUCUGUCCCUCAGUGGAGUGACAGCCAGACCUCAGUGGAAUCCCAGAAUCCAGAGGUGGUGCAGGAGUUACUGAGUUCUCAGUCAUCCUGAACUACAUAACAGACUUUGAAGCCAGCCUGGGCAAUACGAGACCCCACCAUAAACAAGACAAUGUUCAACAGUUUAGAACGGAGCCAGUGGAGAUACAAGAUGUCAGCUGGCUGCAGCUGGAAAAGGAUUCUCGAAGAUGUUCCCACGCUGGCCUUGUGUUUUCACCCUCCCUGGUGGGAAGAAACAGGUGCAUGUUAGUAGAGGCCCCGGGCUAUGGGAUGGCUCAGAGCACUUAACAGAGCACUGGCUGAUCGUCAGG